rnacentral:rRNA from 1 species
GAUGAACGCUGGCGGCGUGCCUAAUACAUGCAAGUCGAACGAGGUCUUCGGACCGAGUGGCGAACGGGUGAGUAACACGUUGGUACCUACCCCGAAGUGGGGAAUAACUGGCCGAAAGGUCGGCUAAUACCGCAUAAUACCGCAAGGUUAAAGCAGUAAUGCGCUUCGGGAGGGGCCUGCGUCCCAUUAGCUAGUUGGUGAGGUAAUUGCUCACCAAGGCAACGAUGGGUAGCUGGAUCGAGAGGUUGACCAGCCACACUGGGACUGAGAUACGGCCCAGACUCCUACGGGAGGCAGCAGUAAGGAAUCUUCCACAAUGGACGAAAGUCUGAUGGAGCAACGCCGCGUGCAGGAUGACGGCCUUGGUUGUAAC